UCCUCAGUGGCUCAGAUGGUAAAGAGUCUGCCUGCAAUGCAGGAGGCUCAGGUUCGAUCCCUGGGUCUGGAA
rnacentral:tRNA from 1 species